CCUAACACAUGCAAGUCGAACGGUAACAGGUCUUCGGAUGCUGACGAGUGGCGAACGGGUGAGUAAUACAUCGGAACGUGCCCAGUAAUGGGGGAUAGCUCGGCGAAAGCCGGAUUAAUACCGCAUACGCCCUGAGGGGGAAAGUGGGGGACCGCAAGGCCUCACGUUAUUGGAGCGGCCGAUGGCUGAUUAGCUAGUUGGUAGGGUAAAGGCCUACCAAGGCGACGAUCAGUAGCUGGUCUGAGAGGACGAUCAGCCACACUGGGACUGAGACACGGCCCAGACUCCUACGGGAGGCAGCAGUGGGGAAUUUUGGACAAUGGGGGAAACCCUGAUCCAGCAAUGCCGCGUGUGCGAAGAAGGCCUUCGGGUUGUAAAGCACUUUUGUCAGGGAAGAAAUCCUUUGGGCUAAUACCCUAGGGGGAUGACGGUACCUGAAGAAUAAGC
rnacentral:rRNA from 1 species